UUUGUUCUUUUUGUGCAGUGAAAACGAGCAACUUGAUGUUCCUAACCUCACACAGUUGCCCAUAGACGACGUAUUGACUCGUGAUUUGGCAGAUGCGCAUAGUCAGGAAGAUGAUAGUGAUUGUGACAACAAUGCCGAUGAGUCUGGAGAUGACACACCCUUCCCUAAUGAGGAUGAUGACGAGGAGGAAGUGGAUGCCGAACCUGAGCUGAUGAAGGAGCAUGCUCCUCCACCUCCUGUUAGACCAAGAGUGUACGAGUCUCACGUGCCGUUUCAUGAGCGGAAUAUUCCCUACCUUGAUAAUUUGCCAAGUAUGCUGGACGUGGAUGCCCUCACAAGGGAUGAUGACAAAAUUCGGCCAGCAAUGUGGGAUGAGUCUAGACCAGCGGUGCUGGCAAAGGGCAUGUAUUUCCCUGAUAAAGCUCGCCUAAUCAGGGCUGUAAAAAUCUACAGCGUAAGAGAGUGUCGUGGGAUGACGGUAAGGGAGUCAACUACGGAGGUGUACAAGGAUGUAUGUCGUAGAGACUUUAUGGGUUGUCACUGGAUGUUGCGUGCCAGCAAGAAGAAAUCAGGGUUGUGGAAAGUGUGUAAAUAUAUUAGCACCCACAGAUGUGAAAUGGACACAUUCAAUGAGAAUCACUUCAACAUGGAUGUAGACUUGAUUUCUCUUGUCUUGAUUCCAUAUUUGGAAGUGUCCAUUAGGUUCAAGAUUAAAGAGUGUAUUAUAGCCGUCCACCAGGAGUAUGGUUGUACUAUAACCAAAAGAAAGGCAUAUCUCGGGCGCAAACGUACCUUUGAACUUAUUUAUGGUGACUGGGAUAAGUCUUUUUAAUCUCUGCCCAGGUGCAUGGCCGCACUACAACACUUUAACCCCGGGACUGUUGUUAAAUGAAGGCGUGAAUGGAGUCCGGACAGACCGGAAUAUAUUUUCAACUAUGUGCUCUGGUCAUUUAAACCAACAAUUGAUGGUUUUGUGCAUGGUCGUCUUGUAAUUUCCAUAGACGGUACUAAUGUCUAUGGAAAGUAUGAUAUUAAGCUUUUGAUUGCAGUUGCAGUAGACGCCAACGGACAAAUAUUUCCACUAGCUUUUGCCAUUUGUGCCAACGAAAGCGAAGAGACGUGGACGUUUUUUUGAACCACUUGAAGCAGCACGUUGUCAAACAACUUUAUUUGUCUAAUAUCUGAUCGACAUGGUGGUAUUUUAAGUUCUGUAAGGCAUUUGCCUGAAUGGCAGGAAUCCUAUGCAUACCACUGUUAUUGUGUGAGGCACCUGAAGGCCAAUUUCAAGAAGAAAUAUCACGACAAGGCCUUGCAUGAUUUAAUGUGAAUGACUGCAACUGAGCACCAGCAGUGCAAAUUCACGAGGCUCAUGGAAGUUAUUCGGCAGCUAGAUCCACGAGCCUAUACUUGGUUGAUGGGACAUGAGCUUCACAUGUGGACAUUGUAUGCUGAUGGCGGCAGACGAUGGGGAGCCUUGACUACAAAUGUGUCGGAGUCAUUCAACGGCUUGUUGAAGUCUGCCAGUGGAUUGCUUGUCACUGCCAUGGCCCGGAUGACAUUCAAACAGAUUGCAGAGAGGUUUGUUGAAAGGCAUCGAGUUGCAUCGGUAUUAAUAGACAGGGGCGUUCAAUUUAUGCCAAUACUGAUGAGAAGAUUUGAGAAGUACAAGAGGCGAGCACAUUGGCAUUUAUUUUUACAGUACGAUCACGACCGGGGUAUUUUUGAAGUUAAGACCACGAUCCGCGGACACUGCGGGAAUAAUCUACAGACGGUGAAUGAAGCCAGCAGGUUGUGUUCAUGUGGGAAAUGGACCAUCUACCACAUGCCCUGCACACAUGCCUUGAAGUGCUUUCAACAAGUUGGUUUAGGGGCGACCAACUAUAUUGAUAGGCAAUACAGUGUUGCUGCAUACUUAGACACGUAUAGUGGGCAGUUACAGCCAUUGGGUGUUGAGCAUUAUUGGCCGCCGGAACCUUUUGAAAUGGUGUGUAACAAGGACUAUUUGCGCAAGCUGCAAGUGCAAAAGAGAACGCGUAUACGGAACCAAAUGGAUGUUAGUGACACCGUUUAUGCGUGUAAAUGUGGCAUAUACUCGCAAACAGGGCAUGACCGUCGUAAAUGUCCUUCAGGUGGUGUGCGUGGCGGUGGUAAUCCAGCUCCUGGUGCAAGUUCAUCAAAAUGUACCCAACUAUCAAAGAUACACCUAGUCUUUUCUUUUCGUAUUGUUUUUUGUAAUGCGUGUCUGUACAGGUGAAAAGUGUGCGUCUCCGGUCGCCACCACUCUAUCAGCGCCGUGAUGAGAGACCAGUCGAGCUGCAACCGCCCAAUCUCAAAAAUCCUAAGGAAGCCCGUAGCACGCAGGCGAUGGACUACGCGGGGAUGGAAAUCUCUAUGCCUCAAAAAGUCCCGCAAGUCGUCCGGUCUCCUGGCGCGGAGACUCUAAUCUAAUAGAUGUCCUUCCCAUACGUAGGCGGACCUAUGGUCGCCCUGUAACACUAAUAUCUGAUCUGAGGCUGGUCCAGGAUGCACAGGUGGCAAGUCCAUGUCGUCUACUGUAGUUUAAACAAUAUUAAUUGUGUGUUUGUGUUACAAUAAUUAAUAUUUAAUUAUUUAAUAGGACAAAGUAUAUCACUGUGGGUUCCAGGCUCGAUAUUUGGGGUCCAGUAUCACCAAGCUAUCCUGAAUAAUGUGUGUCAAUUUUAAUAUUUUUAGAAUUUUGUUUGUGUUAUAAUAAUUAAAUAAUUAAUUAUUUAAUUGGACAGAGUAUAUAACUAUGGGUUCCAGAUUUGAUAUUUGAGGCCCAGUAGCACUAAGCUAUCCUUAAUUAUUAUGUGUGUCAAUUUCAAAUUUUUUAGAAUUUUGUUAGUUUAAUAAAUUAAAUAAUUAAUUAUUUAAUUGGACAAAGUAAAUAUCUAUGGGUUUCAUGCUCGAUAUUUGAGGCCCAAUAGCACCAAGCUAUCCUUAAUUAUUAUGUGUGUCAAUUUUCAAAUUUUUUAGAAUUUUGUUAGUUUAAUAAAUUAAAUAAUCAAUUAUUUAAUUGGACAAAGUAAAUAUCUAUGGGUUCCAGAUUCGAUAUUUGAGGCCCAGUAGCACCAAGUUAUCCUGAAUUCUUAUGUGUGUCAAUUUUAAUAUUUUUAAAAUUUUGUUAGUUUUAUAAAUUAAAUAAUUAAUUUUUAAUUGGACAUGGUAUAUAACUAUGAGUUCCACGCUCGAUAUUUAAUUUGACAACAUAUAUUAAUUUGUUAGUUCUGUAAGUUUGUUUUAUAAAUUAAAUAAUUAAUUUUGUAAAGUGUAAUUAGAUAGAGUUUAUAGUUAGUAGAUACUUAAACUACAGAGACUCUACGCUAAAAGACUCUAUAUUUUACUACGCUAAAAGGCUCUAUAUUUUACUACGCAAAAAGGCCACUAUUCUUUAAGCAAAUAAAUAAUGUAAACUAAAUAAAAACAACAAACAUAUGAACAUAACAUUCACGAAAUUAUAUAUAAAAUAGUAAAAGAUAUUUGUGAACAAUUUUAUUAACAAUAAAAAUUAUUUCUCAACUUUUAACUAUUUUUUUAAAACACUAAUAAUUUAAUCCGGGUAAAAAUAACAUACAAAUUUAAUCGCAAACAUAACACAAAUCAACGUGGAAACACAUUCAAGAAAACAAAUAUGCAUAUGAUUUACGAGUUUCGACAUAAACUAAAUCGGAAUACCUCGAUUUAUGUUUUUUGAAAUGUCGGAAAUUUGAAAUUUUGAGCCCGGAAGAAGGAAUCCACAACAAUCGAAGGCUUGGGUUGUAUGCGGGACCUACGCUCUUCACUUUUUGUGUGACGGGUGGGGCCCAAGGAAUUUUUUUUUUAGUCGGAGGGGGGAACCAGCAGGGGGGGUUAAAAUAGAACCAGUGGUUCUGUCGUGGGGAAGAAGACGUGCUUAUAUUUUUUUAUAGGAAAACGCAGUAUAAUACUACGUUUUCCUAAACGUAGUACUAUACUAUAUUUUCCUAUAAAAAAUAAAUAAAUUAGUAAAUAAAACGUAGUAUUGUACUGCAUUUUACUUUAACGACUAACUUUCCGUUAAACUAAAACGUAGUAUUAUAUUGCGUUUUAGUUAGAAAUAUAACUUUUUUUUAAUUGUAUAAUGAUAUUUUGAGUCCAAAAUACCAUUAUUUAAGUUUCGACCCCUGUCUGUACAGCGGUCACAAAGCCGUCCUCCUUGAUUGGAUGGUUCUCAUACACCCUUAAUCAAAAGUCUAGCAGAAGUUGUUACACCACGUUGGGAGCAGAAACUAACAAUAGAAGUUGUUACACCACGUGGGAGCAGAAACUAACAAUAUAUGCAUUGAGAAAGAUAAAAGAUUAGAGCGCAGUUCCGCUAUAAUAGAAGCUCUGGACCUCCAAACUGCAGCAUGUACAGCAAUUUAAAUCUUUUUAAAUCUUAAGGUUUCUCCUUCCUACCAAAACACAAAUUGUUUCAACGAUAUUUGGUGGUUGGAGCUAACAGCAUAUAAAAUUCGUGCAUACAACAUCUUCGCUAACAAAACUUCCAUCUAUAAAGGUUUGAGUAAAUAAGAGGAUUAACUGACUAAUUAACAAAUAAGACAUCCUUUUCAAUGUUUUGGUACAAGAAUCAUAUUGUCAACUAAAACAUGCCGUAAAUUGAGGAUUGAAUUGCCCUAAAAUCCUCUUAAAAUGUCUCCAUACAGAAAAGACUAAAAAGAACAAAUAGAUUCGAGGAAACAUGUGUUGGGUAGGUUACAGGAAGCAACUUUAUACUAUCACAGAAAAGACUAAAAAGAACAAAUAGAUUCGAGGAAACAUGUGUUGGGUAGGUUACAGGAAGCAACUUUAUACUAUCAAAACCUGGAAGCAACAAACAAUUUGGUCCGCAGUGUAAUAUAUGCUCUCUCAAGGAACUGCAAUACGACACUUCUAGUCAAUCUUCACUGAUGAGUAGAUGAGCCUCGUGAACCAGAAGCAC
rnacentral:lncRNA from 1 species